rnacentral:rRNA from 1 species
UACGUAGGGUGCAAGCGUUGUCCGGAAUUAUUGGGCGUAAAGAGCUCGUAGGCGGUUUGUCGCGUCUGCUGUGAAAACUCGGGGCUUAACCCCGGGCCUGCAGUCGAUACUGGCUGGCUUGAGUGCGGUAGGGGAGACUGGAAUUCCUGGUGUAGCGGUGAAAUGCGCAGAUAUCAGGAGGAACACCGGUGGCGAAGGCGGGUCUCUGGGCCGUAACUGACGCUGAGGAGCGAAAGCGUGGGGAGCGAACAGG